CGCCGAGGCCACACCCCGGCCCGGCCCGGCCGGCGCGGGGCGGAGCGGCCCGCGGGUGCGCACGGGGAGCAGCCGGCGCGCCCGGCUCCCGCACCGCGGGGCGGGGAAGGACAGCUCAGGCGUGACAAGCGGGUUUUAGCGGGAGAGCCCCUCCGGCCGGCUCCGCAGGAGGCUUCCGCGGCUGCCGGGCAGGCGAAAGCGUGGUGUGAUGCAGCGGAGGCAGUGCGGGCUGCACAGCAGGGUCCCGUCCCGUCAGUGCUUCGAGGAGUGCCUCUCAUGAUGCUCUAGCAGCCGUGUGCCACAGCGGAGGUGUGCAAACAGAUUUUCAGCUCCUGAAGAAGUGAGCAGAUUAUAGAAAUAACAGGAACAGAAGGAAGACAGCUAUAAAAGCGGGAGCGAAUAGUCCAAAGACUGCAGGAGGUGGUCAAGAUAAAGCUACUGGUGAUACUGGUGUGUGGUCAGAGGUGGCAUAGGGCACACUGUGUCCAAGGACCUCAUAUGGUCAAUGGGCCGUGGGUCAAAUAAGGACUGCUCAGGAGCAGUGGAGCUUCGUGACCAAAGUCAGAACCUUAUAAAACUGCUGAUGUGUAGCUAAUAAAGAUGGAAGCUCAUUCUGGUAUGCUACCAGCCCUUCAGUGGAGGCAACCGCUUCUAGGGGAAGCACAGUAUUUUGGUCAGAUCUUCCACCUUUUAGCCACUGUGAUCACAUGAGGUUCUGCAAGAUGUUAUUUGUGAAGAGAAGCUUGGAGGGAAUACUGCAGAAGGACCACUCCGUAUAUGCCUUGUUCUUCCCCAAACAUCUCCUGUUGGCUGCUGCCUUAUUGCUUUCCCUAAGAAAGCUUUCUCAUAGUGAAGAAAAUAAAGUUGGAGAAUUCAUGCGUCCAGAUGGAAAAAGAGCAAAGCUAAUGAAAAAGAUGAUAGAUUUAAACCAUGCAUGCCAAGUGGAGCAUUGUGGAACAAUCUGAAUAACACCCAUGAUUUCAUGAAAAUGGCAAGAAAUCUGUGUAUAUUGACCAGAGGACAGGAAGGAACAGAACAGGCACUAGAAAUGAUCCCUUCUCCUAUUCAUCAAGCUUCAUCCUUUUGUAUUACAUCCUAACUAUCACUGGAGUCAGGUUUUUAAGUUAGAUCUGUCAGCUAACCCAUUAUGACCAUUGUUCUACUCUUACCUUUUCUUUAAGAAACGGAAGUAGCAGUAACCAUACAGUGGUAAUUCUCAUGUAAAUCCAAAGUACCCCAUAAUGAAAGAGGUGGAAAACAUUGAGAUUCCAUAGUAUUCUGAUUCUUUACAAUAAUUUUAGCUCAGUAUUAAGAAAUUCAUGUUUCCACUAAAGUAUCUUUUUACAUUUCUUAAAGAUGCUGUCCUGUUGUUUGCUGUGAAUCGAGGUUUGUCUCUGGAAUCAGCAUGGUACAGAUCGUGUUGUAUUGAUAUUUUAGCUAUCACUUUAUCACUUUGUUUUAUUAUAUAGAUCCCACUGCAUUGGUAUAAAGUCCUAAAUAAGGCAAAAUUGAAAGUCUGACUUUAUUGUAUUCUGUGAUGUAUUGUUCCUGUGAACCCUCUACUUCCUUUCUCACACUCAUUCACACAAGGCCUUUGAAUGCUCGUGAUUCACAGGGACAGGUGCCCCUGCUUUCCUUUUUUUUUUUUGCCAUUAGUGAAAUAGAUGUUUUGAAGGACUCUUCAAGAAAUGCUUUUUGCAUUAUAAUAAGGUAUCAUAUUUCAGUCAUCAAAUCCCUACUUUGUGAAAGCCACCCUAUUGUAUUCAUUAGGACGUAUUGCAUAAAAAGGAUGAGCAAACACUUGGCUGGGAUAGUGCAAGCCUAUGAAGUCAAUGUAUGCUCAGUGGAGUUGGAGAGUCUGCUGAAUUCUUUGCCCGUUUCUGGGGCCCCAGGACAGUCAGGAUAUAGUCUGAUAUAAAAUAGUAUUGAGCUUUCAGCUUAAUAUUGAAUUGUAUUAGUUAAAGAAGGACUGAGAAGUAGUUAUAGAAUCUGAGCUACCUAUUUAUUGGCUAAAUGGGUUAGAAGUAUACUUUAUGCCUCUUUUUGCAUUAAUUGCCCACUCAAAGUUAGCACAGACUCCAUGGAAGCACCUGAUGCAUGAGAAAUAGAGCAUCAGAUCAUCUAAGAUUCUGAAAUAAGUCUCAGAGUUUUCUUUGAUACUGAAAAGUUUCUGUUGCUUUAACUUGGUUCUUGGCUUCAUGUUGAAAGAACCACAAUUCAGAGUGAGUCUACAUUUAAUUUUUUCUCUCACAACAUAAACGCUCCAUUAAAUAUUUAUCAUUUUUUAUCUGUCUCUCUCCAGAACAGCUGUUUAUUGAAUCUUUAUUUGAAUCUAUUAGCAGUAGUUUGUUUCAAGCCAAGAAGACAAAAAAAAUCUAUAUUUUGGAUGGCAGCCAGAACACAGUAUCUUCUCCACAAUUACACCUCUGUAACUAAAAAUCAAUUUAUUCCUUGUCAAUUAGGGGGAAGAAAAGGCAAAAGAAAAGCAUAAACAGAUUAAAAAUUUGUAAGGGCUUUUAUUUGCUCUUGCUUACAUUUAAAACACUUAAAUUUGUAUGAAGUAAUGGAAGUUAUCUUAAUGACUGCAGAGGAAUUGUGAAAUUUGAUAUAAACAUUUUCAGUAAUGUUUCACCACAA